AAGGCCUUCGGGUUGUAAAGCCUUUAGGUUGGGAAGAAGGGUGUGUGGGGAUAAUCCAUGCACUUUGACUGUACCGACAGAAUAAGCACCGGCAAACUCUGUGCCAGCAGCCGCGGUAAUACAGAGGGUGCGAGCGUUAAUCGGAGUUACUGGGCGUAAAGGGCGCGUAGGCGGUGGAAUGUGAGUGAUGUGAAAGCCCUGGGCUUAACCUAGGAAGCGCAUCGCAGACUAUUCUGCUGGAGUAGAUGAGAGGGUGAUGGAAUUUCCGGUGUAGCGGUGAAAUGCGUAGAGAUCGGAAGGAACGUCGAUGGCGAAGGCAGUCACCUGGCAUCAUACUGACGCUGAAGCGCGAAAGCGUGGGGAUCGAACAGGAUUAGAUACCCUGGUAGUCCACGCUGUAAACGAUGAGGACUAGAUGUUUGUAGGGGAACCUAUGAGUAUCGAAGCUAACGCGAUAAGUCUUCCGCCUGGGAAGUACGGCCGCAAGGUUG
rnacentral:rRNA from 1 species